UACGUAGGCAGCAAGCGUUGUUCGGAGUUACUGGGCGUAAAGGGUGCGUAGGCGGUCCUAUAAGUAUGGUGUGAAAUCUCCCGGCUUAACUGGGAGGGUGCGCUAUAGACUGUGGGACUAGAGUGUGGGAGAGGAAAAUGGAAUUCCUGGUGUAGCGGUGAAAUGCGUAGAUAUCAGGAGGAACACCAAUAGCGAAGGCAGCUCGCUGGGACGUUACUGACACUGAGGCGCGAAAGCGUGGGGAGCGAACAGG
rnacentral:rRNA from 1 species